GCCAGGUAUGGUGGUGUGGGCCUGUGGUCCCAGCUACUUGGGAGGCUGAGGUGGGAGGAUUGUUUGAGCCCAGGAGGUUGAGGCUGCAGUGAGCCAUGAUCGUGCCACUGCACUCCAGCCUGGGCAACAGAGCAAGACCCUGUCUCAA
ensembl:misc_RNA Metazoa_SRP Metazoan signal recognition particle RNA